rnacentral:rRNA from 1 species
UAAGGAAUAUUGGUCAAUGGAGGCAACUCUGAACCAGCCAUGCCGCGUGCAGGAUGAAGGCCCUAUGGGUCGUAAACUGCUUUUAUACCAGAGAAAACCCCAGUACGUGUACUGGGUUGAUAGUAUGGUAAGAAUAAGCAUCGGCUAACUUCGUGCCAGCAGCCGCGGUAAGACGAAGGGGGCUAGCGUUGUUCGGAAUUACUGGGCGUAAAGCGCGCGUAGGCGGCUUUGCAAGCCAGAGGUGAAAUGCCUGAGCUCAACUUAGGAAUUGCCUUUGGGACUGCGAGGCUUCGAGGACUGGAGAGGUGAGUGGAAUUCCCAGUGUAGAGGUGAAAUUCGUAGAUAUUGGGAGGAACACCAGUGGCGAAGGCGACUUGCUGGACUUAUGGUGACGCUGAGACGCGAAAGCGUGGGGAGCAAACAGGAUUAGAUACCCAAGUAGUCCCUGAGCGGGCUGGCAAGGCGCAU